UGCUUAACACAUGCAAGUCGAACGGGAAGUGGUGUUUCCAGUGGCGAACGGGUGAGUAACGCGUAAGAACCUGCCCUUGUGAGGGGAACAACAACUGGAAACGGUUGCUAAUACCCCGUAGGCUGAGGAGCAAAAGGAGAAAUCCGCCCAAGGAGGGGCUCGCGUCUGAUUAGCUAGUUGGUGAGGCAAUAGCUUACCAAGGCGAUGAUCAGUAGCUGG
rnacentral:ncRNA from 1 species